CAGUCGCCACGGGAAUACGAAGGGUGCAAGCGUUAAUCGGAAUUACUGGGCGUAAAGCGUGCGUAGGCGGUUUGUUAAGUCUGUUGUGAAAUCCCCGGGCUCAACCUGGGAAUGGCAAUGGAUACUGGCAAGCUAGAGUGUGUCAGAGGAUGGUGGAAUUCCCGGUGUAGCGGUGAAAUGCGUAGAGAUCGGGAGGAACAUCAGUGGCGAAGGCGGCCAUCUGGGACAACACUGACGCUGAGGCACGAAAGCGUGGGGGGCAAACAGGAUUAGAGACCCCCGUAGUCCCUGUCUCUUAUAC
rnacentral:rRNA from 1 species